rnacentral:lncRNA from 1 species
AUGGCGGCUUGUUUGGUGCCGGAUUUCCCAGCUGUAAGGAUUGCCUUAGAGCAUUUGGGCGAGUUAGAUAAACGACUGAGGGAAGAAGGGGUUUCAUUUAGUCAAGAAGCAAGUCACCACCUGAGAGAGACAGCUGAAGCCAUUAAAGAGCUGGAGUCAUCUAGAAAAAUAGCACGUGAGAAACUUGAAAUAGAAACUAUUGAGACAAGCAAGCUUCGACAUCGAACAAUGAACCUAGAGGAUGACAUCAGAAGUGAAAUAUCAGCUUGUGUCACUGCAGCUAGAGAAGGCAAUGCUGCAGAGAUGAAUCGACUUCAGUCUGAGCUGAAAACUGUAGUAGAUGACAUACAAUCCAUGGAGGGGAAGCAACAACUCCUUGAACAAGAAAAUGCUGCUCUGAUUCGGGAGAAAGAAAACAUUAAAGGAAACUAUGAAGAUGAUGUUGACAAGAUGAAUCAGCAGCUGUCAAACAAAGCUAGUAUACAGAUGAUGUUAACAGAAAAACAGAAUGAGAUUCAGUCAUUGAAGGACAAAAUUGUCCAGGUGAAAGCAGCCCAACAGGACUUAAAAGAAAACAUGAUUCAGAAGAGUAAAACAUUUGCUGAAAGCAAACAUGCUGUGGAAAUAGAGAUAGAGGAAAUUGCUCUUAAGAUUAAAGAACAAAGAAAAAUCAAUUCAGGAACACGCAAGGAGCUGGAUAUCAUUACAUCAGAACUCCAAGACAAGGAGGAGACAAUCACACAGUGUGAAGAACAUAUAUCCCAGAUGGAGAAAAACAUCGCAAGAAUGGCAGCAUCUAAAAUUAUGUACAAAGAAUGGCUUCAUGAGGAGAAAAGUCAGAAUGAGGACCUUGAACAUCAAAGUAAUCAGUGA